rnacentral:rRNA from 1 species
GAUGAACGCUGGCCGCGUGCCUAAUACAUGCAAGUCGAGCGAACGGACGAGAAGCUUGCUUCUCUGAUGUUAGCGGCGGACGGGUGAGUAACACGUGGAUAACCUACCUAUAAGACUGGGAUAACUUCGGGAAACCGGAGCUAAUACCGGAUCAUAUUUUGAACCGCAUGGUUCAAAAGUUAAAGACGGUCUUGCUGUCACUUAUAGAUGGAUCCGCGCUGCAUUAGCUAGUUGGUAAGGUAACGGCUUACCAAGGCAACGAUGCAUAGCCGACCUGAGAGGGUGAUCGGCCACACUGGAACUGAGACACGGUCCAGACUCCUACGGGAGGCAGCAGUAGGGAAUCUUCCGCAAUGGGCGAAAGCCUGACGGAGCAACGCCGCGUGAGUGAUGAAGGUCUUCGGAUCGUAAAACUCUGUUAUUAGGGAAGAACAUAUGUGUAAGUAACUGUGCACAUCUUGACGGUACCUAAUCAGAAAGCCACGGCUAACUACGUG